CCCAAAUUCACAGUUUCCUGGAAUUAGGACAUGUAUGUAUUUUUUUUGGGGGGGGGGGGUCACUAUUUAACCCACUACAGCCACCAUCAUCACCACCCAUAUCACCAUCACCACCCACAUCAUCAUCUUUGCCAACCCAGCACGAGUCACCGGCCUCUGCAGUCCCUCCCCGCGAAAACACGCCCUGCUCAGGGGUCCCGGCCGGGCCGCCUGGGAAGAAGGAGCAAGAAAAAGGAUCCUCGGGUGUUAGGCUCUGCCCGGGGAGCCCCUUCCCCGCGCCCCAGCCGCCGAAUCUGCAGCAGCCAAACGCCCUUUCCAAACCCCCGCCUCCAGCUCCCACCCAGCAACUUCCCCGGGAGAGCCCGAAAGGUGAGCUCCCGGGAGGCCGCCCGCGCUCCGGCGGCGGCCCGCUUGGCAAACAAUAACAGUAAAUAACGCUCCCUUGUCAACGUAAUAAAAACGGAAACGGUUA